AGGAGACGAAGGCGGCCGAGGACGAGGAGGACACGCUGCUGGACCGCGCGCAGCCUGAUCUCACGGGUCCCUUUGCACAUGUGCAGUUCGUCAAUGGACCAAUGCCUAAUCUCCCCAAGGUUGAUGUUUCACUGGACCCGGUGAAGGAGUUGAGCAGAGUAAUAUCUGAGC